rnacentral:rRNA from 1 species
UACAGAGGGGGCAAGCGUUAUUCGGAAUUAUUGGGCGUAAAGGGCGCGUAGGCGGCUUGGCAAGUGGAUGGUGAAAUCCCUCGGCUUAACCGAGGAACUGCCGUCCAAACUGCUUCGCUUGAGACCGGGAGAGGUGAGUGGAAUUCCCAGUGUAGCGGUGAAAUGCGUAGAUAUUGGGAGGAACACCAGUGGCGAAGGCGGCUCUCUGGGACGGUACUGACGCUGAGACGCGAAAGCGUGGGGAGCGAACAGG